ACACGUAGGUGGCGAGCGUUAUCCGGAAUUAUUGGGCGUAAAGGGCGCGUAGGCGGCGAUUCAAGUUUGACGUGAAAGCUCCUGGCUUAACUGGGAGAGGUCGUUGGAAACUGAAUUGCUUGAGGCAAUGAGAGGGGUGCGGAAUUCCCGGUGUAGUGGUGGAAUGCGUAGAUAUCAGGAGGAACACCAGUGGCGAAAGCGGCAGCCUAGCAUUGGCCUGACGCUGAAGUGCGAAAGCGUGGGGAGCGAACGGGAUUAGAAACCCCGGUAGUCC
rnacentral:rRNA from 1 species